UACAGAGACUGCAAGCGUUACUCGGAUUCACUGGGCGUAAAGGGAGCGCAGGCGGAAUCGUGUGUCGGAUGUGAAACCCGGGGGCUCAACUCCAGAACUGCCUUCGAUACUGAGAGUCUUGAGUCCGGGAGAGGUGAGUGGAACUGCGAGUGUAGAGGUGAAAUUCGUAGAUAUUCGCAAGAACACCAGUGGCGAAGGCGGCUCACUGGCCCGGUACUGACGCUGAGGUGCGAAAGCGUGGGGAGCAAACAGG
rnacentral:rRNA from 1 species